rnacentral:rRNA from 1 species
GAUGAACGCCGGCGGCGCGCCUAACACAUGCAAGUCGAACGGUUAAAGCACCUAUUGGUGUGUAUAAAGUGGCGAACGGCUGAGUAACACGUGGGCAACCUGCCCUCCUCUUGGGGAUAGCCUCGGGAAACCGAGGAUAAUACCCGAUACUUCAAUGUGGCCGCAUGACGACAUUGAGAAAGCUUUUGCGGAGAAGGAUGGGCCCGCGGCCUGUUAGCUUGUUGGUGGGGUAGAGGCCUACCAAGGCAAUGAUGGGUAGCUGGGUUGAGAGACCGACCAGCCAGAUUGGGACUGAGACACGGCCCAGACUCCUACGGGAGGCAGCAGUGGGGAAUCUUGCACAAUGGGCGAAAGCCUGAUGCAGCGACGCCGCGUGCGGGAAGAAGGCCUUCGGGUUGUAAACCGCUUUCAGCAGGGACGAGGCGAAAGUGACGGUACCUGCAGAAGAAGCCCCGGCUAACUACGUGCCAGCAGCCGCGGUAAUACGUAGGGGGCAAGCGUUAUCCGGAUUCAUUGGGCGUAAAGCGCUCGUAGGCGGUCUGUUAGGUCGGGAGUUAAAUCCGGAGGCUCAACCUCCGCCCGCUCCCGAUACCGGCAGACUUGAGUUUGGUAGGGGAAGGUGGAAUUCCUAGUGUAGCGGUGGAAUGCGCAGAUAUUAGGAAGAACACCAGUGGCGAAGGCGGCCUUCUGGGCCAUAACUGACGCUGAGGAGCGAAAGCUAGGGGAGCAAACAGG